AUGGGAUUGCUUUUAGAAGUUGAAGGGGGGGUAGGUUGGUAUCUGGGCUUGUCUACAACCUUUCACAUUACCAUCUUAUCUAAAGGUCCCCUAACCAUUCCCUGACUACAGAUGGAUUGUAGAGAGAAGGCACACAUGUCUCAGUUCAGUGAAGAGUGAUUGAAUACAGAUGAAUGCAGAUAAAGAAUCAAGAGAUGCAUAUUACAUCUACGGGAGCAAGUAGCCGUCAGUCCAUUUGACUUCACUCAUCUCUCAUGGAAGCCAUUUUUGAAUUUAGGCAUCCCUGAAUUAAAUUCACGACUAACAUUUAAUGAAUUCAAUGGUAAGGGAUUAUAACUACAUCAAUAGCUUAGUAGAGUCUGCAUACGUCCAGGUUGGUGAACACAACACAAGGAGUGUUCCAGAACGACCUACCUUCCUUCCCCCUCUCCACACAUGUCUGAGAACAUCUGUCACAUCAUCCACCCCUCUGCCCAGCAGCCCAAGGGACAUCUGUUGUCUACAUUCCAAGGCUUGGGCUCUUUUCUCACCUGGAAGGCAAAGGAAGCGAGAAUAAGGGGAAAAUGUUCAUGCUUGUGGAAAGUGAAUACAUUAUCUGAAAGUAUUUAUGGUAUCAGAGCCUCGAUAGGAAAAAAAGGACUUUGAACUGGACUAAGGUGGACAAAUAGAAGACUAUCACACAAGAAGGGAGGAAAGGAAAGCAUCUUCAUGCACUGAAAGGUAAAAAUCAU